rnacentral:tRNA from 1 species
GCGGACGUGGUGGAAUGGCAGACACGUAUGGCUUAGGACCAUAUGGGGCAACCCAUGGGGGUUCAAGUCCCUCCGUCCGCA